UACGGAGGGUGCAAGCGUUAUCCGGAUUCACUGGGUUUAAAGGGUGCGUAGGUGGGCAGGUAAGUCAGCGGUGAAAUCCCCGAGCUUAACUUAGGAACUGCCAUUGAUACUAUCUGUCUUGAAUACCUUGGAGGUGAGCGGAAUAUGUCAUGUAGCGGUGAAAUGCUUAGAUAUGACAUAGAACACCAAUUGCGAAGGCAGCUCACUACACGGUCAUUGACACUGAGGCACGAAAGCGUGGGGAGCGAACAGG
rnacentral:rRNA from 1 species